rnacentral:rRNA from 1 species
GACGAACGCUGGCGGCGUGCUUAACACAUGCAAGUCGAGCGGUAGGGCCCUUUCGGGGGUACACGAGCGGCGAACGGGUGAGUAACACGUGGGUGACCUGCCCUCAGCUCUGGGAUAAGCCCGGGAAACUGGGUCUAAUACCGGAUAUGACUCCAUGACGCAUGUUGUGGGGUGGAAAGCCUUGUGCGGCUGAGGAUGGGCCCGCGGCCUAUCAGCUUGUUGGUGGGGUGAUGGCCACCAAGGCGACGACGGGUAGCCGGCCUGAGAGGGCGACCGGCCACACUGGGACUGAGACACGGCCCAGACUCCUACGGGAGGCAGCAGUGGGGAAUCUUGCGCAAUGGGCGAAAGCCUGACGCAGCGACGCCGCGUGGGGAUGACGGCC